GAGACUGCCGAGGACGAACUCGGAGGAAGGUGGGGAGUGACGUCAAAUCAUCAUGCCCCUUAUGUCCUGGGCUACACACGUGCUACAAUGGCUGGUACAAAGAGACGCAAGACCGCGAGGUGGAGCAAAUCUCAAAAACCAGUCCCAGUUCGGAUUGCAGGCUGCAACUCGCCUGCAUGAAGUCGGAGUUGCUAGUAAUCGCAGAUCAGAAUGCUGCGGUGAAUGCGUUCCCGGGUCUU
rnacentral:rRNA from 1 species